rnacentral:tRNA from 1 species
GCAUCCUUAGCUCAGUGGAUAGAGCGUUGGCCUCCGGAGCCAAAGGCCGCUGGUUCGAAUCCAGCAGGAUGCACCA